AUGAAAAUGUCGGUGCUUCCUGCCCGGGUUGAAGAGCUGAAGAAAUCUGCUGCUCGAAUCGGUGCAAUCAAUGCCUUAAUCCAGGCAAAAGCCUGGGUGCCGGAUUUUGAUCCUAUUGAAGCGGCUCAGGGCUAUCCCAGCUUGAAGGAAGAUGGGUCAGAAUUUGGCGAAGCGGAUCUGCGAGCAAUAAACCGGGAGGUACGUCCGCUAGCUUGUCAACUGGCUGAGGAAGCAGACUUGUCUCAUUAUCAAGCCCAAUAUGACAGUCAGAACAAGCGAAUAGCUGCACCAAUCCAUGAAUCGGAAAAUCUGAUCCCUCCAAUCCGUAAGCAUACUUACGCUCCCGAUAUUGACCCAUCAUUGCUGAUCCAUGAUGAAGCUGUUUUUCCAGCAUUAAUGGGAAUCGACUGGACAACUGUGGAUUUCCAGCCACUGGGUAAAGAAACGGAGGCUGAAGCGGCGCAGGAUGACCCACAACCAUCAGGCCAGGCUGGUGACCAAACUUGA
rnacentral:rRNA from 1 species